rfam:Myotis brandtii contig188111, whole genome shotgun sequence.
CUGAUGAACUAAGUACGAGGCUGUUUUAUCAUGGUCUUCAUUUUAUCGUUAUAAACCU